UUAUAUUCUUCCGCCAUCACCGGUGUGCCUCUGCAGUCAACUAAAGCUGACUGAAAUAUUUCACUAAUCAUUGUCAUGUCUUUCUGAUAAAUAUAUAACAUUGCAUGCUCAGGUACAUCUUUGAAGCUAAAGAAUACAAACAAAAUGAUUCAAAAGGCUAAAAAGGAAAGGAUGCCAAGGGUGAGAAGAUCACUCAAGAGAAGCAGUUGCUCGCCUGCAGGAAUGUGGUCGUCGAUUUACA
rnacentral:misc_RNA from 1 species